rnacentral:rRNA from 1 species
GACGAACCGUGCGAACGUUGUUCGGAAUCACUGGGCUUAAAGGGCGCGUAGGCGGGCUCCCAAGUCUGGGGUGAAAUCUUUCGGCUUAACCGGAAAAGUGCCUCGGAUACUGGGAGCCUUGAGGGAGGCAGGGGCGGAUGGAACUUCCGGUGGAGCGGUGAAAUGCGUUGAUAUCGGAAGGAACGCCGGUGGCGAAAGCGACGCACUGGACCUCUUCUGACGCUGAGGCGCGAAAGCCAGGGGAGCAAACGGG